rnacentral:rRNA from 1 species
GAUGAACGCUGGCGGCGUGCCUAAUACAUGCAAGUCGAGCGAAUGGAUUAAGAGCUUGCUCUUAUGAAGUUAGCGGCGGACGGGUGAGUAACACGUGGGUAACCUGCCCAUAAGACUGGGAUAACUCCGGGAAACCGGGGCUAAUACCGGAUAACAUUUUGAACCGCAUGGUUCGAAAUUGAAAGGCGGCUUCGGCUGUCACUUAUGGAUGGACCCGCGUCGCAUUAGCUAGUUGGUGAGGGAACGGCUCACCAAGGCAACGAUGCGUAUCCGACCUGGGAGGGGGAUCGGCCACACUGGGACUAAGACACGGCCCAGACUCCUGCGGGAGGUAGCAGUAGGGAAUCUUCCGCAAUGGACGAAAGUCUGACGGAGCAACGCCGCGUGAGCGAUGAAGGCUUUCGGGUCGUAAAACUCUGUUGUUAGGGAAGAACAAGUGCUAGUUGAAUAAGCUGGCACCUUGACGGUACCUAACCAGAAGGCCACGGCUAACUACGUGCCAGCCGCCGCAGUAA